GCAUCUUUUCCCUCCUCCCCUACCCAGGCUGGGCGGGGGAGGGGAGCCACAUAGCCGGGCUGAGAGGAACCACACAGCCGGGCUGAGGAAAUACUUUAAGGCGACUGCUCCCAGAAGAGUGAGAGGGAUGGAAAGUGGAACAUCAGCCAUAUCUCAUUUCAAAAGUGGAUGUUACUGCACCAUUACUGAACCAUAUAGCUGGCUCCUCAAUCAGGUAUGGCACACAUCAUGAGCUCCUGAAGCUGCACUUACUGAGUAGGGAUGUAAUAUGGAUGGUUCUUCAUGGCAAGCUUG